rnacentral:lncRNA from 1 species
GCUGCCAUUCCCCGAUCAAUCUCCCUUACAUUGGGGAAAGCAAAGUAUCGAGUGUGGGUGAACAUCAAGACUGCCAUGGGGGGACAUCCUUUACCAUUUGAUAUCUCUCCAAGGUGGGAUUGGGAAGCAGAUUGGACUCCGAGGGGCCCUCUGUUGACCCUUAGUGGCGCCUCUACUGACUCUUUCUUUAGUGGUGCCUUUGCUUAGGAUCACCUCUCAAACUUGGAGCCCCCUCAUUAGAUGGCCGAAGAAGCGAGUGAUGAGGUGGAACCUUUGGAUUCCCUAGCUCAAGUGCUGUCUGAGGCCCCUCUCUCGGUUAAUGUCAUGGAGAUCUAACCUCCAACGAGUGCUGCGAUCCAGGCGAUGGUGUCCCCCUCACCACUCGACCCUCCCUAUGAGGAGCAAUCUUUGGAUUGUCUAGAGGAGCCGGCCAACACCCUUCCUAUGCCUUCGGCUAGCCGACAUUCCC